AUGUGUAAUAUUUUUUUUGGAAUAUUAGUAUACAUUUAUCUUUUCAAUAUAACGUCCAUUAAGAUUCCAUUUAUAGAGAAAUAGUUCAUAUUUCAUAUAACUUAAAACAAAUCUUUCUUUAUAUAGUUAACAAGAACUAAACAUGUUGAAUGUGAAAAAGAAAAGUUGUUUGCUGAAACUGCCAUUGUUUUUAUGAACUAAACAUGUUGAAUGUGAAAUGGAAAAGAAGUUCGCUGAAACUGCCAUUGUUUUUAUGAACUAAACAUGUUGAAUGUGAAAUGAAAAAGAUGUUUUCGCUGAAACUGCCAUUGUUUAUAUAUUAUUUCUUCAAAUGUUCAUAAUUUGAGCUCUCUGUAUAUAAUAGUCGAUAGAUGUUAUCAGCCAUUCAGUUAAUAAGUUUUGCUUGUUGACUGGUGUUAAUCAUUCCAAAAGGGGAAAACAUUCCAAUUAUUUUGUAUUUUGUUUUAUACAAAUAUUUGUUUUUGCUAUUAAAGAAAAAACAUUUAAUAGUAUUGACUUGUAGCCUUCUUUUAUACCUUCU
rnacentral:lncRNA from 1 species